rnacentral:lncRNA from 1 species
AAUUAGACACUAGGAACUGAAAUGGACGGAAAUUGAAUUAAAAGACUAACAACAAUGAAAACUAACUAAAUAAAAUAAUUUAAUAAUGGGGGGGGGUUUGGUUUUGACGAGAAGUAAAUUAAACUUAAAUAAAUUACAGAAUUGACAAAAGUAUGAAUUAAGGUGAAAGGAUAGGUGACGGACUAGCUAGAGGGUUCUUCUUCACACAUGACACAUAUGCAACCUAAAUUGAUUU